rnacentral:rRNA from 1 species
CCUACGGGAGGCAGCAGUGAGGAAUAUUGGUCAAUGGACGAGAGUCUGAACCAGCCAAGUAGCGUGAAGGAUGACUGCCCUAUGGGUUGUAAACUUCUUUUAUAAAGGAAUAAAACGAGGCACGUGUGCCUUUUUGCAUGUACUUUAUGAAUAAGGAUCGGCUAACUCCGUGCCAGCAGCCGCAGUAAUACGGAGGAUCCGAGCGUUAUCCGGAUUUAUUGGGGUUAAAGGGAGCGUAGAUGGGUUGUUAAGUCAGUUGUGAAAGUUUGCGGCUCAACCGGAAAAUUGCAAUUGAUACUGGCAGUCUUGAGUACAGUUGAGGUAGGCGGAAUUCGUGGUGUAGCGGUGAAAUGCUUAGAUAUCACGAAGAACCCCGAUUGCGAAGGCAGCUUACUAAACUGUGACUGACAUUGAUGCUCGAAAGUGUGGGUAGCAAACAGGAUUAGAUACCCCUGUAGUC